UGUCCUACGGGGGGCUGCAGUGGGGAAUAUUGGACAAUGGGGGCAACCCUGAUCCAGCCAUGCCGCGUGAGUGAUGAAGGCCCUAGGGUUGUAAAGCUCUUUUGUGCGGGAAGAUAAUGACGGUACCGCAAGAAUAAGCCCCGGCUAACUUCGUGCCAGCAGCCGCGGUAAUACGAAGGGGGCUAGCGUUGCUCGGAAUCACUGGGCGUAAAGGGUGCGUAGGCGGGUCUUUAAGUCAGAGGUGAAAUCCUGGAGCUCAACUCCAGAACUGCCUUUGAUACUGAGGAUCUUGAGUGCGGGAGAGGUGAGUGGAACUGCGAGUGUAGAGGUGAAAUUCGUAGAUAUUCGCAAGAACACCAGUGGCGAAGGCGGCUCACUGGCCCGAUACUGACGCUGAGGCACGAAAGCGUGGGGAGCAAACAGGAUUAGAUACCCGUGUAGUCAA
rnacentral:rRNA from 1 species